rnacentral:rRNA from 1 species
GACGGGUGAGUAACGCGUGGGUAACCUGCCUUAUACUGGGGGAUAACAGCCAGAAAUGACUGCUAAUACCGCAUAAGCGCACAGAACCGCAUGGUCGGUGUGAAAAACUCCGGUGGUAUAAGAUGGACCCGCGUUGGAUUAGCUGGUUGGCAGGGCAGCGGCCUACCAAGGCGACGAUCAGUAGCCGACCUGAGAGGGUGACCGGCCACAUUGGGACUGAGACACGGUCCAAACUCCUACGGGAGGCAGCAUG